rnacentral:lncRNA from 1 species
CUUUUCUUCCUUUUGAAAAUCUUCUAGCCUGGAAUAGGAAACAAUAAAUAUCUUGAUAAAUUAUCCUGUGAUUAAAAAAACAAAAAUUACCAGAAGCCAUGUAAGUCUAUAGAACAGGAAUCCCUACAGAGGGAAGUUGCCAUUUCCUGACAUAAUCACUCCACAUUCUGCCCACAUUGAAGAAUAGCCAUGACCUUUAAGCUGCAUGAUAAUCAACAUCAUCCCAAAUCCCUCCAAUGGAAGAAAGGAACAGAGGUGUGGAGGCAGCUGCUACAAGACCCUAAAUAACCACUCAGCCUUGCUAAAGAGACUCUAACAUGUGCCUGAGACAGCAAGAAAAUGAGAAGCUAAUUUUUGCUUGGCUAAUGGAAUUUCUAAAGGAAAGCUCGUGAAGGUUAGAAUUCCGUCCCCUACCCUAAAAGGCUGCCUUAAACCUAGAUAUUCUGGUGCAGCUCUCAGAAUUAAAGCACAUUACUGCAGUUGGAUCUGGAAUGUUCCCCAAAGUCUAUUGUUGAAAGCAUGGUUCCCAAUGCAGCAAGGUUCAGAGACAGGGCUUUUAGGCAAGGAUUGGAUCAUGAGAACUCUGACCUCAAUGAGAGCUGAAUGGACUACUAGAAGGCAGGGCCACUGGGAAGUAGGAAGCAGGUCUGUGGGAAUGUGCCUCGGGAGGGUUUAUCUUCUCCCCAGUUUCCUCCCUUACCACCCUUUACUUCCUGCUGCCACUUCCCAUGAGCUGAGGAGCUUUCUUCCACCACAUUCUUCCGCCAUGAUGCUUCUGCCUUAGAUGGUCUGAAUCCUCUGAAACUGUGAGUCAGAAUAAAUCUUUCCUCCUCUCAGUUGUUCUCAUCAGGUAUUUUGGUCACAGUGAUGAAAAUAUGACUAACACCCUGCUGUGAAGAUUUCCUACAAGAAUAUGAGACUUGAGAGAUGUUGUGGUCUAAGAAAAUGGGCUCUGAGUGAGUCUGGGCCAGCCUCCUCCCAUGAGGUGUCAGCUCACUCAGGCAUGGUGUCCCCUGAUGUUAGGAGUGGGAUGUUGUCUGGGAUUGUGCAACACGAGGGAGCCCUGUGCUGUUGCAUUGAAUAUUAGUGACACCUGCUGAGGCACAACUUUGUACAAGAUGAGUGAUGAGUCUGGAUUAAUAUCACACCGUGACCCCUGAGUGUGGGCAGAAAGCAUUUGAAAACAUUUUCUAGAAGAAAAUGUUCUUAUCUUCCCACCGUUAUUUAGCCAAUGAGUUUUUCUGCUUUUGUCAGUCUCCCUAUUUCCUCAGAUGGGCAAGAAUGGGAGGGAAGACUGUACUGAAACAGCAAAAGACUGGAACAUGUUGCCUGGACACUUUCUCCUCUCUAUUGGGGGCAGUUCUGCACUGUUUCUAAUGAGUAUGGAUAUCCAGUCUGAUUGUGACCACAGAAGUAAGCAAAGCUAUGGCACCUAGCAGUAACAUCUUAAAGGAUUCUAUUCUCUGAGGUGUUUUGAGCCUCUACCCUGCCUUUGGUACAUAAAAAAGAUUACCACAUCACCUGAGUUUUCUAGUCCUGGCUUUUUUUUUAAUCAAAUGUGUGAGUCUCUGAACUUCAAUUUGGAAAACUAAAAAUAACGGGGAGACUUCUAGUUUCUCUCUUGGCAUAAGAGUUUUGAAUUUGCCUAUUCUGUCACCAAUAAAAGAAAAGCUGAAAAAAUCAAAAAUCAAUAGCUCUUCUACUCAUUCAAGAACUGGUCAUAGAGCAAACUGCCUGUCCCCAAAGCUGAAGAUCCAGGCAAACAUAUAUGGAGUCACAACAACAGCCUCCAAAAAGGAAUUUCCAAAGGAACCAGUGUUGAAUUAGGAAAACGGGAACUGUCACUAACAAGGUUAAAAAUUUUGAGGCAUGGGCUGGGGAUGUGGCUCAAGCCAUAACGUGCUCGCCUGGCAUGCGAGGGGCCCUGGGUUCGAUCCUCAGCACCACAUACAAAUAAAAUAAAGAUGUUGUGUCCACCAAAAACUAAAAA